rnacentral:rRNA from 1 species
GGCGUACGCUGGCGGCGUGCCUAAUACAUGCAGUCGAGCGAACAGACGAGGAGCUUGCUCCUUUGACGUUAGCGGCGGACGGGUGAGUAACACGUGGGUAACCUACCUAUAAGACUGGGAUAACUUCGGGAAACCGGAGCUAAUACCGGAUAAUAUUUCGAACCGCAUGGUUCGAUAGUGAAAGAUGGCUUUGCUAUCACUUAUAGAUGGACCUGCGCCGUAUUAGCUAGUUGGUAAGGUAACGGCUUACCAAGGCAACGAUACGUAGCCGACCUGAGAGGGUGAUCGGCCACACUGGAACUGAGACACGGUCCAGACUCCUACGGGAGGCAGCAGUAGGGAAUCUUCCGCAAUGGGCGAAAGCCUGACGGAGCAACGCCGCGUGAGUGAUGAAGGUCUUCGGAUCGUAAAACUCUGUUAUUAGGGAAGAACAAACGUGUAAGUAACUGUGCACGUCUUGACGGUACCUAAUCAGAAAGCCACGGCUAACUACGUGCCAGCAGCCGCGGUAAUACGUAGGUGGCAAGCGUUAUCCGGAAUUAUUGGGCGUAAAGCGCGCGUAGGCGGUUUUUUAAGUCUGAUGUGAAAGCCCACGGCUCA